rnacentral:rRNA from 1 species
ACUCUUGACAUCCCCCUGACCGGUACAGAGAUGUACCUUCCCCUUCGGGGGCAGGGGUGACAUGUGGUGCAUGGUUGUCGUCAGCUCGUGUCGUGAGAUGUUGGGUUAAGUCCCGCAACGAGCGCAACCCUUGUCCUUAGUUGCCAGCAUUAAGUUGGGCACUCUAGGGAGACUGCCGGUGACAAACCGGAGGAAGGUGGGGAUGACGUCAAAUCAUCAUGCCCCUUAUGAGUUGGGCUACACACGUGCUACAAUGGACGGUACAAAGGGCAGCGAAGCCGCGAGGUGGAGCCAAUCCCAGAAAGCCGUUCUCAGUUCGGAUUGCAGGCUGCAACUCGCCUGCAUGAAGUCGGAAUCGCUAGUAAUCGCAGGUCAGCAUACUGCGGUGAAUACGUUCCCGGGUCUUGUACACACCGCCCGUCACACCACGAGAGUUUGCAACACCCGAAGUCGGUGAGUAA